UACGUAGGGUGCGAGCGUUGUCCGGAAUUAUUGGGCGUAAAGAGCGCGUAGGCGGUUUUUCCCGUCUGCUGUGAAAUCCCGAGGCUCAACCUCGGGCCUGCAGUGGGUACGGGCAGACUGGAGUGCGGUAGGGGAGAAUGGAAUUCCUGGUGUAGCGGUGGAAUGCGCAGAUAUCAGGAGGAACACCGAUGGCGAAGGCAGUUCUCUGGGCCGUAACUGACGCUGAGGAGCGAAAGCGUGGGGAGCGAACAGG
rnacentral:rRNA from 1 species